UCUAUAGGAAAUAGUAUUUAAUUUUCUGUUUGUGCUUUUCUACAUUACAGAACAGAAGAGAGAAGACAGAUGCGAAUAUUAUUCUUGUUUUUUUUUUUUUUUUUACUCUGGAUAUUUUCAGCCUGGAGCCACAACUGUUAACACCAACCACUGGAAAUAAAAUCUAUAACUGUGAUUUUAUGAAGAUGUUUUUAUGCUUAAUACCUGUUUUCUUUUGAGUUUGCUUAAAUAUAAGGCGCCAGCUUCCUUUGUGAGCUCCCUCAAACGCCAUUACCAGAUCCCAGAAACAUGGCGUCCAUCCUAUUGUAUUGUCAGUGAUGUGAUUCUGUGCAUGUGAUGUUCACUCCAACAUUCAGUAAUCAAAUGCAGAGGCUCAGAAUGUCUCGGGUAUUUCUAGGGAUGGAAGACAAGUAAUUUCACUCAAUGUUAUGUUAUAAAAUGCCCAUGAGCAACGAGUGAAAAUAUAUUUGAUUUAAUGUAUGAACAGGCUGUGAGUCUGUAGUUGUUGCAAAUUGCAUUUGACGUGGGUUUAAUGAUUUCUAAAGUCAGGAGUGACUGGUUUGUUAUUUCACACUGACUUUAACUGCAGAAUAAAAAAUAUAUAAUAAUAAUGUAUAAAAAUAGAACUCUGUGCAAAAAUAAAAUGACUGAAUCCCU